rnacentral:lncRNA from 1 species
GGGGCUCGGGGGGGGAAUGGGAGGAAACUGUGGGUGGACUCGGGUGAGCGGGGGGACGGGGCAGCCUGGCAGGGUGCCGGGGCCUUGUGGGGGUGGCACAUGCCAGGAUUCAAGGAGGCUGCCGUGAACGCGUGCGGGUCCGGGGGGGCCACACCGGCUCAGCGCCCCAGGGCCACCCGGCUCCCGCGGUCCCCAGCCGAAGUGGCCSCGAGGCGCCUGGCACGGCCGGCACAUGGGGGGCAUCCGGCAGCGCUGCCCGCGGAGCAGCCCCCCAAGCCCCGGAGCACAGCGCUUCUCACGGCUCCCCGCUGGCUGCCAGCGCCGGGGCUGGUGCUCGCGGCUCUGCCCUGCCACCUCCCGCUCCUGUUUGAUGCGUGUACCCAGAGCAAACCCGCUCGCCUCUGCUGCCAGCCGAAAAUUAAAUCACUGCCGAAAGAAAAAUCCUGAAAGGAUCCCUGACUGCUCCCGCAGACAGAGCAUCCCGCAGCUCCCUGCACCAAACCUGCGGCCAGCCCUGUCCUACACCGAGCCGGCGAGGCCCAGGUCGUCCUGUUUGCUCCGACACGUGCUCCUGCGUGGAGCAGAUGCCGGGCUCGGCGCGACUAUGCAUGGCCAGACCGAAGUGGUAAAUACUACUGUAUAGCAAAUGUUAGCUCUCUUUCCUGCAGGCAGAGCAAUGACCUAGUUCCCCGAUCCGGCUGAUUUAUUGAACUGGAAGCGGGAGCGGGGACGAUGUGUGCUGGGCUCUGCCUCGCUCCUGCCUSUGUUGGCGCUGAGACUGUUGCUUGCUGCUGCCAGAUGAAAGUGGCAGGGCUGGCGAGGCCCCUUCGCUCGUCGUCCCCGCUUUUCGGCAAAAAACAGAAGCAAGGGCGGAGGCAGGGAGAUUUUGGAAGCAGAAAGGGAGUGGAGGGGCCGUGGCUGAGUUCAUUAUCCCGACCUGCAAACACAUUAACUCUGGAUUUCGAAGGUGCCRCUGUUGUGCUGAGCAGAGACCAUCUCCAAUUUUAAACCACAGCUUUUAUUUCUUGGCUCUGCCCGCCCUUUCCCGGCGCUGCUGAAUAGGUGGUGUUGGGYCCUUGGGUCCUCCCCGGUGACCCUGCUGCGCGUCCAGCGCUGCAAAAGCAUCUGCGAACGGGCCGAGGCCCGGCGGCUCGCGCUUUUCCAGCGUGCUCAGGGUGGAGGAGCRCGGCGAAGCCGUUUCUGCCUACCCCCAUGGCACCCCGCCGCUCGGUUUGCAGCCGGCCGAGCUGGUCUCCAGCCUCUCGGCUCCCCGUGGCAGACUUUCCCUGCUGUUUGUUUUCGGCUCCAGAUUGUCGCUCGGAGGGGACUGAGCUGUGACUGCUGCAGUCUGUUUGCUCAGAGUCUGCGGUGUCUUAGCUGAGCUCAGCGGCAGGGCAGCCGGGAAUCGCUCUCACUAGCGAUUCCUCCGAGGCGAAGAGGAGGAAGAAACCCCGCUCUGUAAAUGCCUCCGACAGCCCACGGCUGAGCAGCAACUGCAAAAACCUAGAAGCCAAAGCAGGGCUUUCCGCCGUUCACCUUCUUCCCUAAAAUCCACCUCCCCAGCCUUUCCCCCUGCCCAGCUGCRUUAAGCAGGGCUCGGUCCCGUCCCCUCCCAUCCUCUGUCCCCGGGCUGCAUCCCCUGGGACAGCCGCAGAAACCCCCCGCAAUCGAGUCUUACAACGUCAGAGCCCGGUAACUAAUUUACAUGGUCCCGUGGAGGUUGUGGGUGUUCCUGUGGCAGCAGGAAACGAAUAAUUAGGAAUAAAGGUACUUCAGAGGAACCCCGGCCCCCUUUM